rnacentral:rRNA from 1 species
AACGAACGCUGGCGGCAUGCCUAACACAUGCAAGUCGAACGAGACCACCGGGACUAGUGGCGCACGGGUGCGUAACGCGUGGGAACCUGCCCUUAUGUUCGGAAUAACUCUCCGACAGGGGUGCUAACACCGGAUAAUGUCUUCUGCCCAAAGAUUUAUCGCACUGGGUGGUGCCCGCGUUGAAUUAGCUUUUUAUUAGGGUAAAAGCCUACCAAGGCGACAAUCCAUAGCUUGUUAAAGAGAAAGGUCAGCAACACCGAGAGGCGGACGCGGCCCGGACUCCUACGGGAUGCAGCAGAGCGGGAUAUAGCAAAGUGGCCGGAGGCAUGAACCAGUUCGGCCGCGAGAGUGAUGAAGUCCUUAAAGAUGUAAAGCUCUUUUACCCGGGAUGAUAAUGACGGUACCGGAAGAAUAAGCCCCGGCUAACUCCGUG